GGGACACGUGGUAUCCUGUCUGAAUAUGGGGGGACCAUCCUCCAAGGCUAAAUACUCCUGACUGACCGAUAGUGAACCAGUACCGUGAGGGAAAGGCGAAAAGAACCCCGGCGAGGGGAGUGAAAAAGAACCUGAAACCGUGUACGUACAAGCAGUGGGAGCACGCUUAGGCGUGUGACUGCGUACCUUUUGUAUAAUGGGUCAGCGACUUAUAUUCUGUAGCAAGGUUAACCGAAUAGGGGAGCCGAAGGGAAACCGAGUCUUAACUGGGCGUUAAGUUGCAGGGUAUAGACCCGAAACCCGGUGAUCUAGCCAUGGGCAGGUUGAAGGUUGGGUAACACUAACUGGAGGACCGAACCGACUAAUGUUGAAAAAUUAGCGGAUGACUUGUGGCUGGGGGUGAAAGGCCAAUCAAACCGGGAGAUAGCUGGUUCUCCCCGAAAGCUAUUUAGGUAGCGCCUCGUGAAUUCAUCUCCGGGGGUAGAGCACUGUUUCGGCAAGGGGGUCAUCCCGACUUACCAACCCGAUGCAAACUGCGAAUACCGGAGAAUGUUAUCACGGGAGACACACGGCGGGUGCUAACGUCCGUCGUGAAGAGGGAAACAACCCAGACCGCCAGCUAAGGUCCCAAAGUCAUGGUUAAGUGGGAAACGAUGUGGGAAGGCCCAGACAGCCAGGAUGUUGGCUUAGAAGCAGCCAUCAUUUAAAGAAAGCGUAAUAGCUCACUGGUCGAGUCGGCCUGCGCGGAAGAUGUAACGGGGCUAAACCAUGCACCGAAGCUGCGGCAGCGACGCUUAUGCGUUGUUGGGUAGGGGAGCGUUCUGUAAGCCUGCGAAGGUGUGCUGUGAGGCAUGCUGGAGGUAUCAGAAGUGCGAAUGCUGACAUAAGUAACGAUAAAGCGGGUGAAAAGCCCGCUCGCCGGAAGACCAAGGGUUCCUGUCCAACGUUAAUCGGGGCAGGGUGAGUCGACCCCUAAGGCGAGGCCGAAAGGCGUAGUCGAUGGGAAACAGGUUAAUAUUCCUGUACUUGGUGUUACUGCGAAGGGGGGACGGAGAAGGCUAUGUUGGCCGGGCGACGGUUGUCCCGGUUUAAGCGUGUAGGCUGGUUUUCCAGGCAAAUCCGGAAAAUCAAGGCUGAGGCGUGAUGACGAGGCACUACGGUGCUGAAGCAACAAAUGCCCUGCUUCCAGGAAAAGCCUCUAAGCAUCAGGUAACAUCAAAUCGUACCCCAAACCGACACAGGUGGUCAGGUAGAGAAUACCAAGGCGCUUGAGAGAACUCGGGUGAAGGAACUAGGCAAAAUGGUGCCGUAACUUCGGGAGAAGGCACGCUGAUAUGUAGGUGAAGUCCC
rnacentral:rRNA from 1 species